ACCGAUUCAACAAGUAUUUGCCUACUGUGC
rnacentral:piRNA from 1 species